rnacentral:lncRNA from 1 species
AUUCCAACAAUAAGAGCAAGACCUAGAGCAGGAGCUAAAGGAGAAGUGAGAAAGAGAUGCCGAGAAGAGAGAAAUGAAGAGAUGGCCUUCAAUAUUUCUGAGUAUGACAGAGGAGACAGCAAUAGGACACUGAAAGAAGAGAGAGAGAGAGAGAGAUCAGAAGCAGAGAGGAGGUGUAGAGGGACAAGCAGACUCCCUGCUGAGCAGAGAACCCAAUGAGGGACUGGAUCCCAGGACCCUGGAUCAUGACCUGAGCUGAAGGUAGACAUUUAACCAACUGAGCCACCCACGUGCCUGUUAGCAUUCAUU